GUCACUAAAAGGAUGCCAGCGGUAUUGAUAGAACAGGACUUUUAUAGGAUUUGACUUUCUUACGAAGUUGUAGCUUUGGCUUAAGUGCGUCUUUAGGCCUGUGACCUUCAGAACUUUCUUUUUUACAUUUUAAGUAUUUUAUUUCUUUAUUUUUAUUUUAAGACAGGGUUUCUCUCCGUAGCCCUGGCCGUCUUGGAAUGCUCUCUUAUAGACCAGGCUGGCCUCAAACUCAGAGAUCAGCCUGCCUCUGCCACCCUAGCACGGAAACAGCUGAGCAGGAAAUGACUGAAUAGCCACUACCAUGGCCAGGGUUGGGGCAGACGGGGAGGCCUGCUUGCUCAUAGCAACAGGACAGCAGGCUGUCCACUGAUCAAGAACACCUGCCCUGCACAGCCCUGAAGGGGUGCCAUCCCUCCUUUGCGUGUCAUCUGGACAAGUGAGUUUUGUUCCAGUUCUCAUAGAAGCCACCGCACUGCGGAGCCUGAAGUUAUACAAGAAGCAAGACAAGGUCUCCCAUGGUUGGAAGGGCCCCACAUGAUGUCUCUUGUGAGAAGAUGGGUUUCCCAGCCAGAGUCCAUCCCUCUCCUGUGCAGGUGGUCUCAGGUUGGUGACACUAAGAUCAGCCUCCUAUGGGGCUUCAAGCCCCCUUCCUCUACCCCUGUGCUGCUGAGAACCAGGUGGGCGGACAGGAACGC
ensembl:antisense Gm16275 predicted gene 16275